AGCUUCCAAAGGAACCCAGUCCUGGUGACACUUUGAUCUCAGACUUCUGGACUUCAGAACCGACUCCCUAAAAGGUGGCCCGUCCGAGUGCCUGGCAUCCUUUCUCGCAUCUGCGAUGGUACACAGACCUGGGUGGGUCUCAGCUCUACCCCUCACCAGCUGCCUAAUGAUGCUGAACGAGGCAUGUCUUCUCUGGCCCUUGGCAGGCUCAGCUGCACCAUGAUCAGAGACUGGGGGCGUUGAACGGGACAACGUACCGGCAGGUGCACUGUGCCUCUUCUGCAGGCGGGGUGUCCGCCAGGUGAAGGGCAGCUUCCAUCCUUCCAGUGCAACUGAGGGUUUCUUCC